CACUUCACAACAUCUUGAUGGACCAAAGGGCCAAUGGUGGUGGACGGCUCCUCUCUCUUCACUGCAGGACAGAAAGACUCCAGUGAAGCUGUUUCUUCUUCGUCAAAACAAUGCCAAGCAGUCUACUGGACACGCUGGUGAUUAUAGGGAGCACACCCAAACCUGACCAAUCAAACGGAGCGAACAAACUCCGUACGACACACUGGUGAAUAUACGAAAACGCAUCCAAACAGAUGCGCUCUGGCUUUCCUGUUAGCUAGCGCAGACAACUACACACUGACUCAGAGAGACGCUGCAGACAUCUGCUUUCUCUCUCUCCGGUAUAAGCAGUAUAGCAAAAUUUCUACCGGUAGACACUUUUAUACCGCCACACGGUUUAUACCGUCAUACUGCCCAACACUACUCUGUGGUUGUGGACAAUCAAACUUAGGGGCGAUUUGAGAUUUUGCUUUGGACUUCCUCUCUAAGAGCGGCAGGGAUGUUUCUCUGUCAGUUAGGUCUGCUUUUGUGCAUCACUGAAAUAUCAGUAGAUUCAAAAACAAAGUCAUGUAUUGAUCACGCUAAUACUGACCCUUCUAGCUGGUUAUGUUUCAGUACAUAAGUGUGAGUCUGAUACCCUCUACAUGUUUGCCACCUCAUGUUAAAGGGCUUAUUCGUGUGAGUGUCCAUGUGUGUUACUACCACAUUCCAUACCAGUCAUCUCCCUGAUCACGUGACCGCUGCUAAGUCAGGAUUCGGUUGCUAGGAGACACCCUCCACCCCUCCCUCCUCGCCUCCAUGCCCGCCUCUGGCUUUUAGCCCAUCAAACUGUGAUUCUGUGGGUGGAAGGGGGGAUGCGAGUGGGGAUCGAAGUUUAUUUAUAGAAGCCACGGCGAAGAGGGGGAAUUACACGUCGAGUCUAAAAUUAAACCGGUCAUGUCCCCUGUCUACCGCUCCCUCACUCCCUCUCUCUGUAUUCUUUCUUUGCUCGCUCACUUUCUUUGGCAGAUUCAUUCAUAGAUGAAGAGAGGAGAAGUGUGAGAUAAGAUGACAAGGCUGCGUGAGGAGUGAGGAGUGUGGGAGUAAAAAGAUCUAGUGGAGCGAUAUUAGCCAACCUGUAGAGAGAUUUAAUUUAAUAACCAACUAAGAGCCUCUAUAUUAAAUUUUUAGACACAUCUUUAUGACUUUGAAUUAAUCUGAAAUAUGUAAAUGGUUUCGUUUAAACUCUUUGCUUCAUUUCUUCACUUCUUAUUUAUAGAUUUCAGAGCAGCAGAGAUUUACUGCAGCCCGACAAAAAGAGGCUCUGACUGGAACCCAAACCAUGAACUACUAAAUCAUAGACUUUCUCCAUUAACGUUCCUGUCACAGCCGCCUUCGCACAAAAUUAAAUCACCCCUGCAGCUUCUACAUCCCAGGAGUCCAGCAGAGUGCAACCAUUUUAGACGUGCUGUGCAGGAACUGGUGUCAAAAUGGAGAGCCCAUCAGACUGUAGCCACAGCUGUCCCUGUUAUGGAUGGAUGAAUGGAUGGGGUGACAGGAUGACAGGGUGGGAAGUGGAGGAAAAGACGAGUGGAGACUGAAGGGGAGAGUUUCUAAUAUAGGAGGGAGGAAAGAUGCAGUUUGUUGAUUAGAUUCACUUUGUUUCUGUAAAGGAGGCUGGUAUCGCUCCUGCAAGAUUUAGUCUUUACAUAAAUACUUCUUUAAUUUUGUGAUAAACUGAACCAAAACAAACUCAUCACCAUCAUAAUGUUUAGACCUUUUAACACGCAUCUCUAACCAGAAGACUGCUUUGACAAAUUUAUUAAUAAUGAAGCUGCCUGGAAGCCGGCUGUUACUCACAGCCAGAGCCGAUCAAUCAUCUCUCCAUCAGAAGUUCAGGAGGUUGAACUUGACUCCUGCUGUCCUUGUGUUGACGUGUCCUUGGGCAAAAUUUCAAAUCAGUCCCAGUGGUAUAUCCACUGCUGUGUGAAUGCAUAUGAAUGGGUUAACUAGUGUUAGUGGUCAUAUAAAUGACAGGUAUCUGCCAACAGUGUGUGAAUGUGUGAAUGUGACACUGUUCAAGUACGAGUCUAUUCACUGUUUAGCAGAAGGAAAUAGCUGACCUAUCUAACUUAGGGCUGGACGAUAAGGGAAAAAGUUUAUCGCAGUUUAAUUUUUUUCAUAUCAGUCGAUAUCUAUAUGUAUCACAAUAUAAAAAAAAAUAUUUGUCAAUCUUAAAUGUUCCCUGUUACUCUUAAAUGAAAGUUAACAUGUACUCAACAUAAUUUGCACAGUACUCUGCCUCAUGUCCGACGUUAAAAAAACAAAAUACCUCCACUAUCAACUAAUCAACUAAUCGAUGAUCAUUAAGAAUUACGUCGAUCUUGCAAACAUUCGAUCUAUCUUUAUUAAAAAAGGGCCGACAGGGUGCGUCCAACCUUAAGCUGCUUUCCAGCCAAGAUCAUUUCAAUGAGGAAAAACGUAUUUUUCUUCCAUUCGCAUAAAAAAAACGAUCAAAUUGAUGACUGAUCAUUAAUUUAUAGGAUUAAUCAAUCGAGGGACUUUCUUAAAAUUCCCAUUCCUAAUCUCCAUAUUUGUCACUUUCUGACAGUGUCACAGCCUCAGGGGGUCACCUCCAACUCUCUUUUGGUUUCUGCACUAGUCAUUGUUUGACUAGAUUAUUUUAAGCACAAUUGUCUGUGUGAGACUCGUGACAGCUAAAGGCUUCUGCUUUCUUCUUAAUCUAGCGCCCAUGUGUGGAGUUAACGAGGGGUUAAGAAACAGGCUGAAAUGAACAGCUUUGUUUCUGUAAGAUGUUAAAAAAACAAUCGAGAUCUGACAGCUACAACUCUGACAGCUUCUAAAUGAUCAUUUUCAGCACAGUCUUACACAGAAGGGCUAAUGAACGACUUAACAGCUGCAGUUUUAUUUUUUAUUUCCUCUGCUCCACAUUUAUUUUAGCAGACAUGUUUGUCUCAUAAGAUAAGAAGGUAACCAAUGCGGUACCCCCUAACAGCUGACCCAGACGAGAAACGAAAUGCUAAAAUGGAAAUAAAAGGAGUGUAACCGCAUCAUUUUACCAGACGUCAGAAAGAAAGUAAACUGUCAUAAUUCUCAAAAUGUUAAAGGUUGUAUUUUUGGGAAUUUCCCCUUGUGGGACUGAUUAAGGAGUACUUUAUCUUACCUCUCGCUUAUCUUUCAAUGUUGAGACUGUCAGAAGAAAAAGAAGAAAAUCUGAGUUCGAAGAUGCACAGAAUGUGUUUUGAAGCAAAGAUAUUUUAAGUCUCGGGACACUGUGUUUGGCUGUGAUUUCUAACAGGGUUUGGCUGAGGUUUGUUAGUCGUGACUGUUUGUGUUGAUUCACAGUCGAGUUGAUUCCAGGCUUUUUAGGGAAGAUUUUCAACGGAUCACAGCACACAUUGUCAUUUUGAAAAUGACUUCGACUCAAAAUGACAAUGAGUUUGAACAGCAGCACAGUUCUCCAUCAAACCUGUCACAUUGACUCUGUGUCAAAGAGUCACCUUCAACCGUCUAAAAACACACUAAGGUGUUGCACCCUUCAACCAAAACAGCCUGCACAGGUUUACAUUAAAAGUCGCUUUUGUGCUCCUCCCUUUAUAUACCUCCACAACAUGUCACACAAGACAAAUGUGCAGACAUUACAGACCAUGUCCCAGUGCUGCUUCUCCCCAUUACCCCGCAGAAAAGGUCCACUAACCCCAUCAGAGUGAGCAGUCGUGAGCUUUAGAAAAAGGAACAAUAAGGCCGACUCAUUCCCCUGAGUCUGUUACCAGCUUCAGCAGCUGUUUGGAAAUGUUGUACUGCUUUCUCUGCUAAUAUUGGAUCCCUUUACCAUUCAAAGAGAUGCUUUUUCAAGUUUACAAUGACAAAAAGGGAUCUCUUGACACUUUGUAUACAGAGCAGGUCGAUUACACUCUUCGUAAAAUCACUAGCAAACACCCAACCUCAUCCACGAAGGCUCAAUCUCCAAAAAUGGCCACUUUCAUACUUAGGAUUCAACUGCUAACUGACUAUCUGAGAUUCAAGAAUACCCAACACCGGCCUCUGAAAAUGUGAGAGCUCCCCGUCUUUCCACCUGCUUACAUGGGAUGCCCAGGCCUGAAGCGGGUGGAGCACACCACCCACCUUCCUGCUGUGUGCAUACAUAAAAAGCCAACGCAGGGAGGGCAGCAGCAGCAAGUGUGGCCACGCCAAAAGAGGGCAGAUGGUGCACCGACGCUGUGGCUUUAAUUUUCACACUAAAAUAUAGGGCUGGGCGAUAAACCGAAAAUUUACGACAACAACUGAUGCCAUUUUGCCUGUAUCGGUAUAUUCGGUGUCAAAAAAAUAAAGUUGGUUUUGGAUGUGUGUAGGUAGGCUAUGGUCUCAUGUCCCUUUUAAGACGCUGUCCUACGUCAGAGACAUGACUCCACCCCAUCCAGUCAGUAACAAAGAGGGAAAGACAGGUGAGGAGAUGGAGGACAGUUCAAAAGUUGUAGCAGCUGAAGUAGACGAAGUUAACGUGGGAGGGGGUGAGCAGCUUAUGGAGUAGUUUAUCUGUUCAAUAUAUCGUGAUACUGAUUUGAGGCCAUAUCGCCCAGCCCUUUUAAAACAGCUCUGCGAACUCAAAGUAUGAGGUUUUGAAGGACCAUGUAGCAGCAUAACAGUCCGUUUUCCCCUGGCCUUACACCAUGGAGGUAAGGAUAACAUCUUAUCCCAUUCAACCAUAAAAGGGGGCAGUGAUUUUAUGCCACAACAAAUACAAACACCAAAGCACACAACUCUCUAACAUGCCUUCAUUGGGAUGCAUUGAAACAGACAGCGGACUAUGACUACUUUAACGUCUCCUCUUUCCUCCUCUCCUGCUCAGCCUGCUGUGUCCCUGCUGAGGGAAAUCGACUGAUUGUAUCUCAAGGUCUUAUCAAAUCUGAUGUUCCUCGCACCACUGGAGCCGCACCGUGAUGAAUGGACGGAGAUUUCCUCUACAAGGUCAUCCUAACACCUAUAACAUCCGUCAGUGUGUGGGUGUGGGUGUGUGUGUGUGUUACCCCAUAGUAACAGUGAUGGCUUUUGUUUGUUGGCCAAAUGAAACAUCAGCAUUAUGGGAGAUAAGGAGAAAGAGACGGAGAUGGAUGUGUGAGGCGGCUUCAUUACCCAGGUGAGCAGAUCUGAAGAAACGCACUGCAGAAAAAUAAAACGCCAUCCGGUACUCCAAUACGACCUACAGGAGUGUCCCUGAAACAACAAAGUCUAACAGCAGAAGGAAAAAGCUCCUACAACAGAUAAACACCAAUUUAGGUAAAACUAAGACAGAAUUCAGUCUAGGGCUGGGCGAUAUGGCUUCAAAUCAAUAUUGCGAUAUAUUGAGCAGUUCACCUUGAUAACGAUAAAUGGACGAUAACUUCUCCACAAGCUCCACAUUAACUCCAAAUUAACUUCGUCUACUUCAGCCGCCGCUCCAACUUUUGAACCGUCCUCCAUCUCCUCACCUGUCUUUCCCUCUUUGUUACAGACUGGAUGGGGUGGAGUCAUGUCUCCAACGUAGGACAGCGUCUUAAAGAGACAUGAGACCAUAGCCUACCUACACACAUAUUUUUUUUUAACAACGAAUAAAUUGACAUGGGCCAAAUGACAACGGUUAUUGUCGUAAAUUUCUGUAUCGCUAAAUUUUCGGUUUAUCAUCCAGCCCUAUUAGAGGUACCACCCACAUGCACAUUUUCAAAGCUGUGUGUGUGAGCUACUUACCUCCCUAAUGACCAGAAUAAGCAAAUACAGUGAAGUUGUAGUCCCAAAACCCCCCAAAUUUACCGAAAAAAAGAGCUAAAAGAGCGCAUAAAAACUUCAGGGGUGGUUAAUAAUUGACUGUAGCUCCCACUUUUACAUGCACAAAUGAGACAAGGCUUUGAUUCAGGACCAGCUUUGAGGAUAGUUUUUGCUAACGUUUUCAGUGCCAUUUCUACUUCAUCCAUACCUGCAGCCAUUAUUAGAUAGUAAGUGAUGGUACAGUCUGUUUUUCAGUCAGUCAAAACAACCUGUUUCACCCGUCUAAAGCUCCACACCUACAGACCAUCUACAGAUCAACCCUGCUGUGUAAAACACCGACUCUUCACACUGUCCUCGCCUGUAAAUCUACACUCCUGCAUCGACGGUUUUUCAGCCUUCCUGCUCCUCGUUGAGUUUUCAUCUUCAAAUAUAAAUACAGGCCUCUUUUACAUUCACCCUUCACUUUAUGAGCUGUUCAAUGAAUUAUUCACACAGUCAUCACAGUCAUAAGUCAUCGUAGGUUUAAUAUCUGUAAUGUAAAGAUAUUGUGGUUUCAGCAGACAUCUCAUCCCUUAUUCAUCAUCCGUGUUCAUCUUAUCUCGACUAAACCAAAGAGUAAAUCACUCUCAUCGGUUUCGUACCACAAACACUCGUGCCUGUUUGAUAUUCCAGCCCCUCAGAACUGAGGAAACAGUAUAAUUACACAGUGUGGUGCGUUGAAAUGCUGCUAAAUGAUUUAAUCAGAGCCUGAAUACAGGAGACUGAGCAGUUCAAUAUGUUACGUAAUUCUCCACAGUAACAGGUUGUUGUAUAAAUGAAGCGUUCACACCUUUUAGUGAUUAACAUUUGAGGUGUUGGAUGAUUUCAGCCGUUCUGCGUUGCAUCGUGAGUCACUCUCGCCCCUUCCUCACCUCCACCCCUCCCUCCAUCUUGUCCUCCCCGCCUCACGCUGGGAAUUAUGCAACACUCUGCAGGAGCGGAGGGAGGACUCUGUGUGCAUAAAUGUGUGUGAAUGUGUGUGUGUGUGAUGGAGGUAGAUGGAUGGAGAAAAAAAAGAAAGGGAGAUAAGUGUGUGUACGAGAGUGAAACGAGAGAAAGUCAGGGUUGGACUUCUCCUUUAUAAACUUCUCCUUUCUUUCAUUCAUCAUUUCCAUCACAGCUGUUUCAAUCUUUCUCCAUCAAGGUCGUUGACAAGGACGGUCUAGCUGCAUUUUCUGGCCUCCGAUUGGCUGUUUCCGAGGAGCAGGGCCUUAAAGGGACAGCGGCGCAGCAGCCAUGUUUUGUCACAGUAAAGAGCAGCAGCUGGAGGAGGUGUGACAGUGUUUGAGGAGACCUGCCUCACACACAUGGAAUUUCCCAAACUGCCUCCUGCCCUCGCUGAAGUAAUUAGUGAGGAGUCAAAAUAGCUGGAAGAGCUGGCAGUGAGAGCGCUUUUGUCAUGGUGAGGCCUUGAAAAUGACCUGAAAUCACAGCAAUACAAUCCUUUUAGUUUUAUUUAUCUAAAACAGCGAGACAGAAAGGUUAUCUGACACCUUUACCAAAAACUGUGAGGACAGACGAGAAGUAGAAAACCAUCUCUGCAGUAUCUUGUAGGUCUCAUGAGGAGUUUUUGAUGGAGUGACUGUGAAACCGAUUGAAAUGAAAACAAAACAAAACCGCCAGUGAGAAAACUUACAACUUCUGUUUUGUCAUUUUAAAUGCCUGUUCCCACCGUGAGGAGGAAAUCACCUAUCGUUUUUCAGCUUUUAAAAUUCAAACUUUUGGCUGUUUUUACUGAAUGCAAAUUCCACAGCUUUGUUGUUUUCAUUACAGCCUCUUGUAGUGCAGGUUAACUUUGUAUUUCUGACUUUGAGAUGAGGGAUGGGGCCGAUCUGAUCCAGUGUCGGUAUCAGGUUCCAAUACCAACGUAAUUCAUGUAUUGGAGAUUUCUGAUCCAACCUGUGAAGAUUUCCGAUCCAUAGGUCAUGCCUUUGCUUAAAUUUUGCUGAAAUUAUAAUGUCAAGUGAUUCUUGAUUCCUAAUGGCUGCAAACUGUGCAAUGGAUUUCCUGAACGGAGGCGUGUCUCAAUGAGACACAGAGAUGAGACACGCCUCUUUACGUUCAGGAAAUCAUACGUACAUAUACUUGUCUGAAGAGAGGAGUUUAUUACAGUGCCAUAUAAAAUAAACAAUAAUGAUAAUAAUGAUGGUAAAACUAAAAGAGCUCUGGUAUCGCAAUAGUAUCAGUAUCGGCAGAUAUCCAAAUUCAGGAAUAGAGAUCGAAUCGGAUGUGAAAAAAUGUGGAUCGGUGCAUUCCUAUUUACUGUCCUUGUACGGAUUGCAGGACAGGCUUUCACUCCACUUUUGUCUGUCAGGCUCCUCCCACAUCUGUUAGUCCUAAGAGUCAUUAAGCCCAGCCUGAGACAGAGGGUCAGUCACUGUUAUGUGGUUUCGGCCAAUCAGAAUCAACUACUUCACUCACUCUUGACUCAUUUAAUAUAAAUCACUCAGUAAUUAAUCACGGUGAAACAUUGGCUCUGGUUUAAAUCUGGUGGAAUAGCUGGUGGCAAACCUCAUCAUGGUCAAGCUUGUGCCUUUGCUAGUCUUGGUAUUUUUAUCGAUGACCCAUAGCUUCAAGGUUUGUAGCCUUUUUGAUCCAUGAAGAUCUGUGUUUUGCAGACUAGUUAAGGAGCCAAAUGGACAGUAAAUUGAAUUGAAAUAGCAUAGGUACGUCAUUAUCCAUCUCAAAAACAGUUAUUGUUGGGACUAAUGGGGUUUUUAGUCUUCUUGUCUUGCAUGCUGGCAGGUUAUAACACUGCAAGACUCACAUCUUAUGUCUCAUUUGUCGUCAGAAUAUCUCUUCACCCUUACUAUAAACAACAAGUCCAGAUUUAAACCUCAUUUCAAGACAUUUCAACCAUAAAUUAAAGACUUCUUAAGGACUCUGUUAAUAAGUAUUGCAUCUUAUUUCAAGAAGCUCAUCAAAAACAAGAUUUGUGUGAUAUAAUGGCAGCCAUUUUUACUCACUACAAUCAAUCGAGUCCUUAUUUUUGCUAAAUGCAUACACUAAUCAGUGUUUUUUUCAGCCUGAAGCCUGAAAGUCUGGGUUAGAAGUGGUUAACGGUUGUCCAAUCUGUAGAUAAAGACUUUUGAAAAUCACAGCCAGUACUUUUUGUCCAUGUUCAUCUUCCUUCUAUACAGUGAAGAAAAAUCUCCCUGCUGUGACUCCAGUUAUCGCGGCCAGUGUUUCUAUUAUAAGAUGUGACUGGAGCAGAAAGUGCAGCGAGCGUAGGCGGAGGAGAGAGAAGCUCACACACAUACAAACACACUUACACACGUACAUGCAGACUCACAAAUACAGGGAUAAGAACUUCCAUAUGUGAAUAAUUGAUUCAGCACUUCCUUAAAGAAGCGUACUCGGUGUUCCAGGAGGAGAAGUUCAUGUGUGGUAACAGGAAGGGAGAGAAAUAACGAAGAGUUAUAUAUAUCUUCAACACAGUCUGGAUUUAUUCAGUCACUGUUUCAUUAUUUGAGAUCAGAUGAAAAAAAAACUUGACGUAAAUGUCUCAGAAGUAAAACUUUUCCGAGAAAAAUUCAGUAUUUUUUAUUUGAAGUGUUUCUUUUUCGUGACUCGGGCUUUGUUCUCUCCGAUUUGUGACUCGAGAUGACGGCAAAGCUUGUGAGUUGAUUGAGUGUUUGACCUCAGGGAAGACAAACCAAACAAUUGCACUCCCCUGCAAAGAUACAGAAUAGAGAGAGAGAGAGGGAGGAGAGAAAAGGAUACUUCCAAAACCUGAGAUGACCUCAGAGAAGCUCGUUUAGGGAUGAAACAAACUCUUCUUCUUUCUUGAACUGCUGCCUUUGAGCUCUGAAGUCACAAUGACGGAGGAAGAUGGAAGGAAAAGAGAAGAGAGGAGAUAAAACAGCUCGAGGGCAGAAAAGGUACAAGAGGAGAAAAAAGGCUGAAAGAAAUGACUAUUUGUUCUACUUGAAAGAAGGAGGCCACUGAAGUGGAGCACUUUAUUAAAUGUCUCUGGGAUGUUGACUCAAACUUUAGUCAUACCAGCUUUGGUUUCACGCCUAAAAGAAGUCAUACAUAUUUAUAUUACAAUCCUUUUAAAGCGGUGUACAGAACAAGAGAGCUGUCCGUGGUGCUGAUCCCAGAGCUUUUGGGAACCAUGUAUAUGACAGUGGACCAAAGUUUCCUAUUUCUCUCCUACUUGCUGAGUUACUAAACCAUCUGUGCCAGUGUUUCUGUAAAAUCCAGAAUCUAUACGUUGCAGCUGCAGCAGUCUGUGGGGUUUCUCAGUGGGGACGAAGGUUUCAACCACCUCCCUGUGUGAUGAUUCCCAUUAUGCUUGGCUGUGUGCACUUCCUGUACACAUGUGUAGCUCCGUCUUGUACCAUCUGCUUGCAUCAUAUGGAGUUUAUUUCCCCGCUAGCUACUGCUACAGUUGUUGCGCUCAGCAUAUAGUAACUUUGAUAGUUUUGACUGAGGUACGCACACCCACUGGGAUUGCUCCAACCACCACAGGGUACUUGUUGUUUUACUCCGAGGAGUCUUUUCUGUCAAAUGGGCCCUCCACAAGGUCUGUUUACUUUAGAGUACACCACAGUUUUCUGGAAAACAAGUAGAAAAGCAGUUAAAAGUGAAGCUGCAGGUCUAAUCUGUCUUCCUGUGUAUCCCAGCAUGCUUUGUUGAGCAGCUGCUUGCAAAAUACAGUUAACGAGGAUGAAAAUUUUAUUGUCAGGUCAGUGUUUUUUUACGCGCUUCUAACUCAGUUAGUCCACGCUACACACACUCAAACUCUUCGUCUCUCUUAGUGAAACGAAGUCACGCUUUAGCUCGUUUCUGCCUACUUUUCGUACCAUCUGCCAUGUUUUUUUCCCUCGAAGUCUCUGUUAUCAUUUGCGUAGACUGCCUCUCACAAGACUGUUUUCCAAAGCACCCGGAAGAAAGGAAUCAUUAAGGGAAUCGUUAAAAUGAAAUGUAAAUGAGGUCGAUGGAUUGAACUAUUUGGAACCGGUUCUCAACAAGAACGGUUCUGGAUUCUUAUCCCUAGUCUCACCUCUGUCCAUCUCUCUUUAAACCAGCUCAGUCUUGGCAGAUGACUGUUUAACAUGAGUCUGGUUCUGCUCGAGGUUUCUGCCUGUUAAAGGAAGUUCUUCCCCUCCACUCUAACUCCUUAGAUGCUGAAAAGUGUGUUGCUUGUGUGGUUUCAGAUGGGAUGGAAGUGGGUCUGAUCUUUCAAGAUGGGUCUCAGUCUGAUCCUGUCUUUACAUCGGGUCUUUGUAAACAGUUUGGUUGAGAUAAUGUUGUAUUAUCGACAAAGCUCGUUGAAUUCCAGAUUGAUCUGAGUUUUGCUGUCCAAUCAGAGUCUUGAAAUCUGUGUGUUAAGGCUGGGCGAUAACCCGAAAAUUUACCGAUACAGAAAUUUAUGACAAUAACCAACAUCAUUUUGCCCAUAUUGGUAUAUUCAAAAAAUAAAUAAAUAAAAGUUGGUUUCGGAUGUGUGUAGGUAGGCUAUGGUCUCAUGUCCCUUUAAGACGCUGUCCUACAUCAGAGACGUGACUCCACCCCAUCCAGUCAGUAACAAAGAGGGAAAGACAGGUGAGGAGAUGGAGGACGGAGAGAAAGUUGUAGCAGCUGAAGUAGACAAAGUUAAUGUGGGAGGGGGUGAGCAGCUUGUGGAGUAGUUAUCGCCCAUUUAUCGUUAUCGAGGUGAACUGAUCAAUAUAUCGUGAUAUUGAUUUGAGGCCAUAUCGCCCAGCCCUACAUGUGUGUGUUUCUGGGUUGUACCACUCAGCUGCAGGAGCCUUUUAUUCUUACAUCACAAGUGACCACACACAGAGGAGGAUCUGUGACCAGGCUGUGUGUGAGUGUAAUUGCGUGUCUGUCCUGCUGCUGGUACCUGUGUGUUUGGUCAUCACGGCACCUGAACUGUGUAAACACCUGUCAUAUUCGUCUGGCCGUACUCAUUCACUCCUCAUGCACGUUUGUGUGUUAAUGUGUGUUUGUGUGUCCGUGCUUAUAUCUGCAGGACAUGUCUGUGCUCAGUGAUGCAGGGGUAAUGAUCAGAAGAGCACGCAUGAACACUUGUGAGUACUACUGCACGAUACACACAUAAACUCACUCUUACAUACAGUGCUCCUGUCACUCAUAAUGAGUAUUCAUAUUUCUCCCAGAAAUAUGAAAAUUUCUGACUGCUGAUCCGACACAAGUGCCUCGUGGUAUUUCCAGAGUCUGAGAGCUAAAGGUUAGAGCGUGUGACCUGAAUCCCCAGACACUCACUCUGGAAGUCUUGGCAGGAGCGACGAGGGGAGUAACAACCUCUGCUGCAUCAGUGAGUACCACAGAAAUCCCCUGAGCAAGGCACUUAACCCACAGUGGCUUUAGGAGAGCUGCCCUGAGUGUCAUAAUUGUUAUCAAAGCCCCUAGAUACAACACCGAGAGGUCAACUCGCCGCACAGUGCCUGGGAUCUCUGUGACUUAAUCUCAUAUUAAUAAGAAACGAUGACGACAUUCAAAUCUAUUUGACCCCACAUUUCCAAAGACUGUUAUGGAUGAGCUGCAGUUAGAAUGGGGUCCAAAUGAAGGCAAUGAAGGAUUCAGGAAUUAACUGUUCGACAUGGACAUAAAGUAAUGGCAGUUUGGGAGAAAAUCAAACCUGUUACCUCAUUUCAAACCAGAUUUAUUUACUUUAUUCCUCUUCCCAAAAAGAGGACACGCGGGGACCGAGUCACGGAGUCACACAAAGUUAAUUUUGAGAGUUUUUCGGGUCGGAUCAAGAGUCUUUUAUGCGUUUCUAACUCAGUAAGACCAGGUGACACAAAAUCAAAACUCGUACAAAACCGCGGACAUUUGAAGGAUUUUAUAAACUUCCUCGGGACAUAGCUUGACAGCCCCCAAAAAAGAGGACAUGUCCGGGUAAAAGAGGACGUAUGGUCCCUUAUAUUAAAGCUCCUGAGAGAAACUUUUGGCAUUCUUCGCAUAUCUUGUCUUGAUUGAUUUUUGACCAAAAACUUAAUCCUGCUGAUUUCUGACAGUCAAAUUUAUUACUUACUAUGGACAUUUAAUGAGAAAAUUGCAAAAUCCAUGAGCUGACACUUGCCUCCUCACACCGAUUUCACAAUUUAGGAUAUGAAAAUCUUUUGUUUCGUUGCCAAUCGUCAUGUUUGCUUUGGGGUACCAUGAUAGGAAUCAAUAUGAAUUUCAGUUUAUUUCAUUAACCUUAAAAAAAACUCUUCACAUGAGCUUCGAGGAUAAAAGCAACACAUUCAUUAGUAUGAGAGGGGUGGGCGAGUGAUCAAAGCUCUGUACACAGAGGCUGAAGUCCUGCUCCAACUCCACCUUUUAUUGAUUUUUUUAAGAAAACAGCUAAAUGAAAAAUCUGUGGAGUGGUUAUUUAUUUUGAAUCUGCUUUUGAGAUGAAAAGUGAUAAUUGAUAAGAAGUUACCAAGACUCUCCAAACUGUUCGUAUCCGAAUAAAAGCACUAGAGAAAUGGUUCAGUGUUAGAAUUUUGACUUGAAGCAUGAGUCUUGUACAAACGCUGCAGAUUCAAAGCUUCAGGUUCUGUUACCAUCUAUUACCUGUUGAUGAUUAGUUUCAGCCUGUGCCCCACAGAUAGGACUGUUUUCUGUAGAACCAUGGACUGCACACAGUUCUGUCUGGGACUGAAACCAUAACCAGCUUUAGUUUUUAAAAAAUACUGUUUGUCUGCAUUUAAUCCCUCCAUCCAUUCAUCCUGUUUCCAAUGUCCUCGGUUUUAUUUUGUGUCAGUUAGAUGAUUUGGGAGCCCCUGUUGCCUGACGGCUGUUUCCAUGGUGACCAGGUCUCUGAAAUAUAUUUGUGCAGUUUCUUCCCUGCCUUCACUGCACUAUAUCUCUGUUCUUAUCUUUGACCUGAAAGCACAAUCUUUCCCGUGAUUCAGCUUUGUUCCUCUUUCAACAGCUCCCUGCUGCUCACACACACCGGGAUCCGGUCCAGGACCAUCGAUCCAGAGGAGGAAGGAGGAAGAGGCGGGGAGGAGGAAAGGUUGGACUGAUGUUCAAGAGCACAAUUCAGGAUGCUUUGAAAUGGAAAUGCAUCAUAGGACACUUUUUACUUCUCAGCUCAGGGGCACGAAUGUUAAAGCUGCCUUGAGUGAGGAAGGGCCUGACUUUUGUGGUUUUCUAUCUUGAACACACAAGCUAUAUGAGGUUUGAUCCUGAGGGACAGAGCCUGUGGUUUGACAAACUUAAAGGAAUAUUCCAGCAUAAAAUUAAUUUAGGGUCAAACACAUUGUAACACUCCUCGAGAGAUGAAUGUUACCGACCGCCUGCUUCUCUAGUUAUAUCAACUUUAGUAACGACCGCAGGAUAGCAAUACAGAGAGGUCUGAGGAGCCAUAAACAAACCUCAACCAAAACGCCACUCUAUAGCCACAAAUAAUGCUCAGAACAGCACCUAACUUCAUCAACAGGACAUAUAGGGUCACAGCCAUAGUACUAGCCACCACACAUCUUUUUAACUUUGACUAAUUUCUUUAGCAAAGAGACUAAACACAACUCACCUACUCUCUCCCAGCAGUCGCUUGUUUGUAGCGAGACCUCGGGCCUGUCCAUUACAGACUACAGCGGGGUGACGCAGCUCAAGGAAGAACAUUUAUGAUCAUUAAAUUAACUUUACGCCGGAAUAUCCCUUUAAGUCUAAUCAUUUACCAAAAUAUAAAAAUAAAAAUUAAUGCAAGAAUGAAACAAAAAUGGGUUGACAUAAAAUUUAAUUCAUGACUUGAAGUAGCAUCGUCUUGCUCUAAGAGUUAUUUUGAAUUUCAAAGUGACUUCCUCUCAGAAGGAGCUAAUAAACUUAAUAUUCCUACUCUCCAACCAUUCUGUCAGUCCCUCAAUCUAUGCAUAUACAUCAUUUCAAAAUAAAAGCAUGCUUUCACACUCUAGGACAUAAAGCAACUCAAACACAAGACAGUAAAAGUGUCAAAAUAAAAGCAUUACAAACCGUCGUUUUCAAAGGCAGUCUCUUCCCCAAAGGUCAACACAAACUGGGUCACUUACAUUAACCUUUACCACAGUGUGUGUCGACUACUGCAGCAAAGAUUACGCCGGAGAAUAUGUCAAAUUAAAGCCAUGUACCUCAAAUAUAAAACGUGCUUACGGAUAAUAUGUAACGCAGAAUAACACACAGACAAUAAUCAAAGUAAUAACAUUGUCAUUGUGAAUAUUCUUGAUUAAUUUAAAUCCAUAACAGCCCUGAACAGAAGAUACAACACACUGCAACAGCUGCUAAAUGGGAAAAACAUCAUUUUUUUAGUGUUUCUUUUUUUUUUCCAGGUCACUUUGAAAAAACAAAAACUUGAUUGAUGGCUCGAACUCGAGGGAUGACAAAGCGGUGCAGAAACCAGGCCACUCUUACAUUGUGAUGGAGGGGAGUAUUGAUCCCAUUUGGACACAGUGACUGCUUCGAAUUAGAAUCACACAGGCAUGCACUCAUACUAAGAAUCCUGCACGCAGCCUCACAGGCAAACAUUUACAUAGCAACACAAACAUGUCUGUGCAGUCACAACUAGACGACAACAUUUACACACACUAAGUGGAUCACUGUCUCAUUAGCUCCUGUGUUAUGCAAUCAAGUAUGCUUUCCUUUCCAUCACUUCUUAACUGUUCAUCAUUGUGUGCAUGCGUGUGUGUGCAUAUAUGGCAGCUGCGUAAUAUCCACGGCCUUUUGCUCCAUCUUAAGUCUCUAAAAACAGCAGUAUAAUUGUCUAAUCUCCCACAGCAGGUGGUGCAUACAGAAAUAAAACAUGUGAGGAGGCUGCAGCUUCCCUCUGACCACCUCCAACACACAUUGUUUCCAUGUGAUCCCUGUUCUCUUGUGUGCGUGGCGGUGGUUUCCAUUCCCUGGAAUAACUCAGUGUAAGCCAUCUUUAUUCCAGUGUGAUGCUGCAGAAAGAACCAGCUCAGGUCUGAUUUCAUAUCAGUUAAUUCUCUCACCCUCUAUGUCUCCUUUCCCGUCACUAUCGGCACAAAUUGAAGAUCAUCCCGUGUUUUUUAGUCUUCACUGAUGCUCACAUCUGCCAUCAAAAAUGAUGACAUGCUAAUGCAGGCUGUAUCCUGCAUUCAGAGGACGGUGUGUUUGUUCCGGUGUUUGCCCCAGAUGAUAGUGAUGAUGCAGAUGUGCAUUUUGUUUUUGUUUCACAGCAAAGAACAAGAUUCACACUGAACAGAUGCUGCCAAUUAAGCAAAAACACACAAGGGAGGUGAUUCAAUCCACCUCAUCUUUGGAAUUAUAAUAAGAAUUUUAAAAAAUACAAAGGACUGGAGAUGUUUAUAAAGUAUUUGUAGAGAACCUCACCAAUGCAUCCAUCUUUUAGUACACUUUAUGUCUCAUAUUGGUGAUAAACCAGACUGGAUUACCACCAUCCAUUGACUUUGUUGGCAGUCCAACAGCAGGUUCAGAUAGUUUGAGGGUCUAGUUUUAUUUAUUUAUUUAUUUAUUUUUUAACAAAAAACAAGAGCCCAGUUAAAAACAAGGCCUCCGAAUUGAAGGUCAAUUUCAUUUGUCAUAAGGAACCCAGACAAUACAAGAACCCUACAACAUAAAAUGUGACAGUAGUUCAAAUAAGACAUAAUUUCUUAAAACAGCAUAACAAAUAUAAGUGAUGUUGUCUUAAAUCAAGAUACCAAAACAUUCUCAUUUAAUAUAUAUUUUUAUUCCACAAGCAGGCAUGAAGAAAACAAGCAUGUUCUUUGUGGUUUUGCAGUUUUCAUCUGGUCAUUGUAUUAUGUUGUGUGUCGUACAGACUAGCCUCCUGACGUCUUUAUAUGUCAGAUAAUGUAUGAUUCAGCGGAUUCUGUCAGGUUCAGAUGACCUGCAAUAGAAAUCUUCAUUUAAAAAAAAAAUGCUUCAUGGCAUUCUUGAAUUGAAAAGUUGUACAUAUAUCUUACUCUUAAAAUGAGACGAAUAAUCUUGUUGCUCCGCCG